UACGUAUGGUGCAAGCGUUAUCCGGAAUGACUGGGUGUAAAGGGAGCGUAGACGGUUGUACAAGUCUGAUGUGAAAGCCCACGGCUCAACUGUGGGAGUGCAUUGGAAACUGUAGAACUAGAGUAUCGGAGAGGCAAGUGGAAUUCCUAGUGUAGCGGUGAAAUGCGUAGAUAUUAGGAGGAACACCAGUGGCGAAGGCGGCUUGCUGGACGACAACUGACGUUGAGGCUCGAAAGCGUGGGGAGCAAACAGG
rnacentral:rRNA from 1 species